GACGGAGGAUGCAAGCGUUAUCCGGAAUUAUUGGGCGUAAAGCGUACGUAGGCGGUUAGACAAGUCCUUUGUUAAAGCCUGUGGCUUAACCACAGAAAGGCGAAGGAAACUGUUUAGCUAGAGUGUAGUAGGGGUAGGAGGAAUUCCAGGUGUAGCGGUGAAAUGCGUAGAUAUCUGGAAGAACACCAGUGGCGAAAGCGUCCUACCAAGCUAAUACUGACGCUGAGGUACGAAAGCUAGGGGAGCGAAUGGG
rnacentral:rRNA from 1 species